AUACAAGCAAAAUUCACUUUUUAGGUUCAUUCAUUUAAUGGUGUAUGUAGUCCAUAUUAUGAACCACAUACAUCAUUAAAUGAAUGAAUCUAAAAAGUCAAUUUUGCUUAUAU
rfam:Medicago truncatula strain A17 chromosome 6, whole genome shotgun sequence.